rnacentral:rRNA from 1 species
UACGUAGGGGGCAAGCGUUGUUCGGAAUUACUGGGCGUAAAGGGCGCGUAGGCGGCCCAGCAAGUCGGGCGUGAAAGCCCGGGGCUCAACCCCGGAAUGGCUUUCGAAACUGCUGAGCUAGAAUACAGAAGGGGCAACCGGAAUUCCCAGUGUAGCGGUGAAAUGCGUAGAUAUUGGGAAGAACACCUGAGGCGAAGGCGGGUUGCUGGGCUGAUACUGACGCUGAGGCGCGAAAGCCAGGGGAGCAAACGGG